rnacentral:rRNA from 1 species
UACGUAGGGUGCGAGCGUUAAUCGGAAUUACUGGGCGUAAAGGGUGCGCAGGCGGCCGCGCAAGUCGAGUGUGAAAGCCCCGGGCUUAACUUGGGAAUUGCGCUCGAAACUACGUGGCUGGAGUGUGGCAGAGGAAGGUGGAAUUCCAGGUGUAGCGGUGAAAUGCGUAGAUAUUGGGAGGAACACCAGUGGCGAAGGCGGCUCACUGGACCGGAACUGACGCUGAGGCGCGAAAGCGUGGGGAGCAAACAGG